AAGAGCAAGACAAACCUUGUGCGGGCAUCGCCCACCUCCAAUAAACCGCAUCCUUGUUUCCUCCAUAGCCUGCCCAGCUCUUUAUCAACGCCCUCUCAAUUUUAUCUUAUGGUUUUGAGACAGAGUCUCCUGUAUCCCAGGCUAGUGUCAAACUUGCUAUGUCACUGAGAAAACCUCUGAACUUCGAUCCUUACUACCUUCACCUGUUCCCACCCAAGACUGUGGGACUCAAGUCCGCACUACCGUGCGGGAUUUAUCUAGAGCUUCACAUAGGCCAUAUGAACUCUCCGCCAGCUAAGCACGUCUCCCCGUAACUGUUCGGGAAACUCUCAAUUCUGUUUCUUUCCCACAUAAGCAAUUCAGUGUGUUUCACACUGGAACAUUGAAUGAUUCCUUAAAUGCUGCCCUCUAAUGACCAAGCAACACACCAUGUGUAAAAGUUGAAUGUGCACAUCAUGUUCGCUUUCCUUUGUUCAAAUCAGAAUACAAGUGAGGUUCAUGGAUUGCAUCUGGUUGAUAUUCACUUUAUUCUUUGUUUUUAGGUUCUUUCUCAUUGGAGGGCUUAAAGUAACGGGAUUUAUACUUCUUCCGGUUUGAAAAAAAUCUCUGCAUAAGCUCUGUGUGCCAUUGAGAAAGCCAUCACAAGAGCGUGAUGGAGGAAGCAGCAGCUGCUGGCAUCUGUGAUGUGUGACCUAGCAGCCUGUGAAAACAGUCCGGACGCGUGACACCAGAGGAGGAAAGCAUUCGGAAGGAUAUUAUUUAAAGUGACAGCAUGACCUGGUAGAAUUAAUGAUUCAUCCCUAAGAGACAACAAAGAAGUACCUGGCUUUGAAAUUCAAUUAUUAGGAAGACCCAGGAGCUGAGCCGGAGGCAAACACGAGAGGUAGGUCACUUGAGCCCUGUGGACUGUUUUAAAGUCCUCGGUUCUCCAGGGCCAGCUGCCCUGCAGCCAAGUCCACCCCUGGCCCUCAAGAGAAGCUGCUUUUAGUCUUUUCCCUCUUCCUGGUUUUGUCCCUGCUCUGGCCAGAACCCCCGCCCUGCUCUCCUUUCCUGUGCAGUAUGUUUUCCAGCGGGCUUGCAGGGUUUGGGUAUGUGUGUGGGGGGGGGGGAUUCUGAGCACUGUCAUUCACUUUGUUCCCUGUUCUUUCACCCGUGGGCAGCUUUCUUUGACCCUCACUGCCCACUUGAACUGAGCUUUCACAGCAUCCAGAAGUGUCAUUUGUGAAGGCGGCCAGCAUCCUCAGAGGUUCCGUGGGUUAUGACUCAGAUCCCCCAGGAGCCCCCAGUCCAUUCCUUAGCUGACUUAGCUUCACAGCAUUUCCGGAUUCCACAGGGAAGUGGACUCUACCCAACACCCCCAAGGUCAGCUCCUCAGCACUGCUUCCUAUUGAGCAGGCAGGAAGUGUGCAGGAGUCUCCAGGAAGCCUGUCAGGGGGAGAUUCCUGCAGUUGAAAGGGCAGCACCAUCAAGGAUCUAAGCUGGCCUUAGAAGUUAACAAGAAAUGGAUGUUAUAAUCUCAAAAAUAAAUGGGGAGGGGUGAUUUAGAAGUUUUUAUUUUCUAUUCACAUGCUAUGAAAUAUGCUAUUUUAUGCUAUUGAUUUGCUAUUUCAAUAAAAGUUUACUAGUCCUGAGAAGUGGCUUCAUUUUGGAAAAGCCUGAUUGUAAACACGGCAGAACUAUUUUACCCCAGAGCAAAAGGCCAGAUCCAAGCAGACAGUGAGGCAGCUGAGGUCAAGGGCACUCCUCUCUGUUCCUAAGCUCCCAGAAUGCCAUCUGUUGAGACAUUCCUCUUUAAUAAAUCAUUGAGAACAAGAGACCCUGGGCUAGUUCGGGGUUAGUAAAGUUGAGUGCAGUUAGGGAAAGAGAAAGAAAGCAGAAUUGUCUGGGUUCUUACGCAAGAAAAGUACAAAGUGUAGUUUAUAAAGGACAUGAAACACUCCUUUAUGCCACAAAUGGUCUCAUUGAACACCACACUGACCAGAUUUCCUCCACAUCUGUGAUUAUACCUACAACCACAGGA